AUUGAACGCUGGCGGCAGGCUUAACACAUGCAAGUCGAGCGGAGCGAGGGUGCUUGCACCUUAGCUUAGCGGCGGACGGGUGAGUAAUGCUUAGGAAUCUGCCUAUUAGUGGGGGACAACAUUCCGAAAGGAAUGCUAAUACCGCAUACGCCCUACGGGGGAAAGCAGGGGAUCUUCGGACCUUGCGCUAAUAGAUGAGCCUAAGUCGGAUUAGCUAGUUGGUGGGGUAAAGGCCUACCAAGGCGACGAUUUGUAGCGGGUCUGAGAGGGUGAUCCGCCACACUGGGACUGAGACACGGCCCAGACUCCUACGGGAGGCAGCAGUGGGGAAUAUUGGACAAUGGGCGGAAGCCUGAUCCAGCCAUGCCGCGUGUGUGAAGAAGGCCUUUUGGUUGUAAAGCACUUUAAGCGAGGAGGAGGCUACUUAGAUUAAUACUCUGGGAUAGUGGACGUUACUCGCAGAAUAAGCACCGGCUAACUCUGUGCCAGCAGCCGCGGUAA
rnacentral:rRNA from 1 species